rnacentral:rRNA from 1 species
AGAACGAACGCUGGCGGCGUGGAUAAGACAUGCAAGUCGAGCGCUGAUUACGGGGUAGCAAUAUUCCGUGGUCGGAGCGACGCAAGGGUGCGUAACACGUGGGUAAUUUGCCAUGAAGUCUGGAAUAACUUGCUGAAAGGCGAGCUAAUACCGGAUGUGAAUAUUGGGGGGCAUCCUCUGAUAUUCAAAGCUGGGGAUCGUAAGACCUGGCGCUUCAUGAUAAGCCCGCGGCCUAUCAGCUAGUUGGUGAGGUAACGGCCCACCAAGGCUAAGACGGGUAGCUGGUCUGAGAGGACGACCAGCCACACUGGAACUGAGACACGGUCCAGACACCUACGGGUGGCAGCAGUCGAGAAUUUUUCACAAUGGGCGAAAGCCUGAUGGAGCGACGCCGCGUGGGGGAUGAAUGGCUUCGGCCCGUAAACCCCUGUCAUUCGGGAUCAAUGCGUUUGGGUGAACAUCCCAGACGUUGAUAGUACCGGAAGAGGAAGGGACGGCUAACUCUGUGCCAGCAGCCGCGGUAAUACAGAGGUCCCAAGCGUUGUUCGGAUUCACUGGGCGUAAAGGGUGCGUAGGUGGUUGGAUAAGUCUGAUGUGAAAUCUCGGAGCUUAACUCCGAAACUGCAUUGGAUACUAUCUAGCUUGAGAGUUGGAGGGGGGACUGGAAUUCUCGGUGUAGCAGUGAAAUGCGUAGAUAUCGAGAGGAACACCAGUGGCGAAGGCGAGUCCCUGGACAACUUCUGACACUGAGGCACGAAAGCCAGGGGAGCAAACGGGAUUAGAUACCCCCGGUAGUCCUGGCCCUAAACGGUGCACGUUUGCUGUAAAAGGAAUCGACCCCUUUUUGUGGCGUAGCUAACGCGUUAAACGUGCCGCCUGGGAAGUACGGUCGCAAGAUUAAA